rnacentral:rRNA from 1 species
GUUAUAACCGGCGAUUUCCGAAUGGGGAAACCCAGUGUGAUUCGUCACACUAUCAUUAACUGAAUCCAUAGGUUAAUGAGGCGAACCGGGGGAACUGAAACAUCUAAGUACCCCGAGGAAAAGAAAUCAACCGAGAUUCCCCCAGUAGCGGCGAGCGAACGGGGAGGAGCCCAGAGCCUGAAUCAGCAUGUGUGUUAGUGGAAGCGUCUGGAAAGGCGCGCGAUACAGGGUGACAGCCCCGUACACAAAAGCGCAUGUGCUGUGAGCUCGAUGAGUAGGGCGGGACACGUGGUAUCCUGUCUGAAUAUGGGGGGACCAUCCUCCAAGGCUAAAUACUCCUGACUGACCGAUAGUGAACCAGUACCGUGAGGGAAAGGCGAAAAGAACCCCGGCGAGGGGAGUGAAAAAGAACCUGAAACCGUGUACGUACAAGCAGUGGGAGCACAGGUUUACCUGUGUG